rnacentral:rRNA from 1 species
AGCUUGUCUUAUGGGUGGCGAGGUGGCGGACGGGUGAGGAAUACAUCCGGAAUCUACCUUUUCUUUGGGGGAUAACGUAGGGAAACUUACGCUUAUACCGCAUACGACCUUCCGGGUGAAAGCAGGGGACCUUCGGGCUUGCGCCGGAUAGAUGAGCCGAUGUUGGAUUAGCUAGUUGGCGGGGUAAAGGCCACCAAGGCGACGAUCCCGUAGCUUGUUUGAGAGGAUGAUCAGCCACACUGGAAUUGAGACACGGUCCAGAUUCCUACGGGAGGCAGCAGUGGGGAAUAUUGGACAAUGGGCGCAAGCCUGAUCCAGCCAUACCGCGUGGGUUAAGAAGCCUUCCGGGUUGUAAAGCCCUUUUGUUGGGAAGAAAAGCAGUCGAUUAAUACUCCGGUUGUUCUGACGGUACCCAGAGAAUAAGCACCGGCUAACUUCGUGCCAGCAGCCGCGGUAAUACGAAGGGUGCAAGCGUUACUCGGAAUUACUGGGCGUAGAGCGUGCGUAGGUGGUUGUUUAAGUCUGUUGUUAAAGCCCUGGGCUCAACCUUGGGAAUUUGCAUUGGAUACUGGGCCGACUAGAAUUUUGUUAGAGGUUAUUGGAAUUCCCCGUUUUGCCGUUAAAUUGCGUUAGAGAUCCGGGAGGAACUUCCUUGGCCGAAGGCAGCUUCCUUGGACCAACACUGACACUGAGGCACGAAAGCGUGGGGAGCAAACAGGAUUAGAUACCCUGGUAGUCCACGCCCUAAACGAUGCGAACUGGAUGUUGGGUGCAAUUUGGCACGCAGUAUCGAAGCUAACGCGUUAAGUUGCCGCUUGGGAGUACGUUCGCAAGACUGAAACUCAAAGGAAUUGACGGGGCCCGCACAAGCGGGUGGAGUAUGUGGUUUAAUUCGAUGCAACGGCGGAGAACAUUACCUGCUCUAGACAUGUCGAGAACUUUCCAGAGAUGGAUUGGUGCUUUGGGGAACUCGAACACAGGUGCUGCAUGGCUGUCGUCAGCUCGUGUCGUGAGAUGUUGGGUUAAGUCCCGCAACGGAGCGCAACCUUGUCCUUAGUUGCCAGCACGUAAUGGUGGGAACUCUAAGGAGACCGCCGGUGACAAACCGGAGGAAGGUGGGGAUGACGUCAAGUCAUCAUGCCCUUACGACCAGGGUACACACGUACUACAAUGGUAGGGACAGAGGGCUGCAAACCCGCGGAGGCAAGCCAAUCCCAGAAACCCUAUCUCAGUCCCGGAUUGGAGUCCUGCAACUCGACUCCAUGAAGUCGGAAUCGGCUAGUAAUCGCAAGAUCAGCAUUGCUGCGGUGAAUACGUUCCCGGGCUCUUGUACACACCGCCCGUCACACCAAUGGGAGUUUGUUCAACCUAGAAGCUAGGUAG